rnacentral:sRNA from 15 species
AAAGAUCGAUACCGAGGGGGGGGGCACGAUGCUCCGGAGACACCCCUGCUUCGUCAGGCAGUCUGUACCGCGUACAGCCUGAAACUCCCUAAACCUCAACAACCAGCCACUCCGGCGUGAAGGUAUCGUUCU